UACGUAGGCAGCAAGCGUUGUUCGGAAUUACUGGGCGUAAAGAGUGUGUAGGCGGUGCUCUAAGUUCGGUGUGAAAUCUCCCGGCUCAACUGGGAGGGUGCGCCGAAAACUGGAGUGCUAGAGCGCGGGAGAGGAAAGCGGAAUUCCUGGUGUAGCGGUGAAAUGCGUAGAUAUACAGGAGGAACACCGGCGGUGUAGACGGCUUUCUGGACCGUAGCUGACGCUGGAGACACGAAAGCGUGGGUAGCAAACAGG
rnacentral:rRNA from 1 species